rnacentral:misc_RNA from 1 species
UGCGGCCCGAGCCUUCCCUAG